rnacentral:rRNA from 1 species
CAGCAGCCACGGUAAUACGAAGGGUGCAAGCGUUAAUCGGAAUUACUGGGCGUAAAGCGUGCGUAGGCGGUUUGUUAAGUCUGUUGUGAAAUCCCCGGGCUCAACCUGGGAAUGGCAAUGGAUACUGGCAAGCUAGAGUGUGUCAGAGGAUGGUGGAAUUCCCGGUGUAGCGGUGAAAUGCGUAGAGAUCGGGAGGAACAUCAGUGGCGAAGGCGGCCAUCUGGGACAACACUGACGCUGAGGCACGAAAGCGUGGGGAGCAAACAGGAUUAGAUACCCGUGUAGUCCCUGUCUCUUAUAA